UUAUCAAGGGACAGGCAAGGCGGCCACAAGCUGAGAAGAUGCUGCUUGAAAUGUUUGGGGUUUCCAGAGUUAAGGGCAUGACACCCAUGAACUUAUGCUCAUUGCUGAGCCUCAUCCCAUCUGAGAUCUCCCCAACCCACACCCCUGCUGCUGUAGAGGUAGACAUGAUGCGGGAAAGAGAUUGCUCUCAGCUCUGACAGCUUAUCUGCCUUUCCUUGUUGGUGAUGGCCUGACAGUUAGAGCAGUCCUGCUCAGGCCACAAAUCCCUAUGUAACUAGCAAAUGCUCAUCACGAUAAGUAAGCAUCACAUCUUUCAAAGACUGUAAUGGUUCAUCUCUGUGACUCCGUUACUUAUUUUACCACACACAGCAGCACAGGCUGUUGUGUUGUGCUCUGUUCUCUCAGCAAUGAACCACAGCGACAUUGCAUAAAGCUGGAAAAAAUGACAAAAGGGAAUUGGCACAAAGCUGAGAGUGCAAUGGAGAAACAAGAAGAGAUGAGGCUGCAGGUGAAGUUCACGUUGAAUGUGAGUGGAGCUCAUAAAGGCCUAGCUACCAUGGGAAUGGUGACAGGGAUGCUGGUCCCCAGUGUGUGGAUAUGCAGCCUAAGGAACAGAAUGAAGGCAAACUUACCCCGUGAAACAGGAGAGUGGUGGUUGAAGCAGGGGCGAUGUGUGAAAAUGUCCCAAGGAAGUGACACCAGCAAAUAAUUAAAUUAAUACUGUAAAGAUUUCACAACAUUGAAAGUGCAAGAGUUAAAAAACAAUUAAAAAAAUAAAAAGAAAGUGCAAGAGUUGGAAUGUUGGAAGCUGAUCCCAUUGAGAACAGAGUGAGAUAACUCAGAUGCUGACUCUAUAUUGUCAAGUGUGAGGUCAGAAGAAUGCAAGCACUGUGCAAACUACUCUUGAUAGGUCUUUACAAAAAAUAAAACACAAGCCUUUUCAGUGUU